rnacentral:rRNA from 1 species
CAGCCGUAAACUAUGCUCGCUAGGUGUCAGGCAUGGCGCGACCGUGUCUGGUGCCGCAGGGAAGCCGUGAAGCGAGCCACCUGGGGAGUACGUCCGCAAGGAUGAAACUUAAAGGAAUUGGCGGGGGAGCACCGCAACGGGAGGAGCGUGCGGUUUAAUUGGAUUCAACGCCGAAAAACUCACCAGCAGCGACUGUUACAUGAAAGUCAGGUUGAUGACCUUACUAGAUUUCAGAGAGGUGGUGCAUGGCGUAGACGUCU